AUGAUUGAAAGAAACAGAUACAGAGACCCAGAACCAAACAUUGAGAGGAGCCCAGAUAUUCUUAAAGAAGGCAGGGAGGAAGAACUGGACAAGUUAAAGGGUUCAAGCCUCCACCUCACCGCUGCUCUGUCUCCUCAGAGUCGCCCUCUCUCACCACCACCCGCCAGGAACAGGCAGCUCGAUGAGGCGUUCAUCGAGGAGGGGACGUUCCUCUUUACUUCAGAGUCUGUAGGGGAAGGUCACCCAGAUAAGAUUUGUGACUAAAUCAGUGAUGCUGUCCUUGAUGCACACCUUCAACAAGACUCUAAUGCUAAAGUGGCUUGUGAAACUGUUGCUAAAACUGGAAUGAUCCUUCUUGCUGGGGAAAUUACAUCCAGAGCUGCCAUUGAUUACCAGAAAGUGGUUCGUGAAGCCAUAAAGCACAUUAGAUAUGAUGACUCUUCCAAAGGGUUUGACUACAAGACUUGUAAAGUGUUGGUUGCCUUGGAACAACAGUCACCAGAUACUGCCCACGGUGUUCAUCUUGACGGGAAUGAGGAAGACAUUGGUGCAGGAGACCAGGGUUUGAUGUUUGGUUAUGACACUGAUGAAACUGAAGAGUGUAUGCCUUUAACCAUUGUCUUAGCACACAAGCUAAAUGCCAAACUGGCUGAACUACGACGCAAUGGUACACUGCCUUGGUUACGCCCAGAUUCUAAAACUCAAGUGACUGUGCAGUAUAUGCAAGAUCGGGGUGCUGUGCUUCCCAUCAGAGUCCACACGAUUGUUAUAUCUAUUCAGCAUGAUGAAGAAGUUUGUCUUGAUGAGAUGAGGGAUGCUCUGAAGGAGAAAGUGAUCAAGGCUGUUAUACCUGCAAAAGACCUUGAUGAGGAUACAAUUUACCACCUACAGACAAGUGGCAGAUUUGUUAUUGGUGGGCCUCAGGGUGAUGCUGGCCUGAGUGGCCGAAAAAUCAUUGUGGAUACUUAUGGCGGUUGGGGAGCUCAUGGAGNAGGGGCCUUUUCAGGAAAGGAUUAUACCAAAGUGGACCGUUCAGCUGCUUAUGCUGCUCGUUUGGUGGCAAAAUCCCUCGUUAAAGGAGGUUUGUGCAGGAGGGUUCUUGUUCAGGUCUCUUAUGCUAUUGGAGUUUCUCAUCCAUUGUCGAUCUCCAUUUUCCAUUAUGGCACUUCUCAGAAGAGUGAGAGAGAGCUAUUAGAAAUUGUAAAGAAGAAUUUUGAUCUUCGCCCUGGGGUCAUUGUCAGGGAUCUGGAUCUGAAGAAGCCAAUUUAUCAGAGGACUGCAGCCUAUGGCCACUUUGGUAGGGACAGCUUCCCAUGGGAAGUGCCCAAAAAGCUUAAAUAUUGAAAGUGUUAGCCUUUUUCCCCCAGACUUGUUGGCGUAGGUUACAGAGAAGCCUUCAAGCUCUGAGGGAAAGGGCCUUCUUCCUAAAUCUUUCUGUCCUCUUUCAGCUCCUGAUCAGUUGCAGUCACUCUAAUCAAUGACAUGAAUUUUAGCUUUUGUGGGGGACUGUAAAUUGGGCUUGCUAUUCUGUCCCUAGGUGUUUUGUUCACCAUUAUAAUGGAUAUAGUGAGCAUAGGUGACCCAUGUAACUGCCUAGAAACAAACACUGUAGUGAAUAAUGCUUUGAAAUCGAACCUUUGUGCCCUAUCACCUAAUCCUCCAAAGUCCUAAUUGCAAUUACCUUCCCACCAGAUGCUGAAAAUAUCCUUGUACUGUGCACAUAAAGUACUUGUAGUUUGACUAUAGACUCUAGCAAUGUCACAGCCCUGUCAGCAUGAAUCUGUAAUGUCUUGAGCUCUAUUUAUUGAAUGUGAAGCCCCUGCCCUUAUCCUCCCUGUAACUCAUUUCUAAUUAUGUAUUUCUUUAUCAGGGAGUGUUCCUAUCCAAUCAAUCUUGCAUGAAAUGAAAGUUUCAGUUGGAGCUCUAGCCUGACUUUGAAAAAAAAAAAAAGAAGGCAGUUACAAUUAAACCAUCUCCCUGGUGCUUAUGCUAUUAAUUGCCACCUCAAACAGCACCAAAUCAAAAUCUCUCCACUUUUCAGCUGUCUUUGGAGGACGUAC